UGAAUACGAGAUGCUACGGCGUCGAAGCAGUCUAUGUCAGACUUCCAAGAAAAGCUUGCACUGUCAAAAACAAAUAAUGCCUGUACCAUAACCGACACAGGUGGGUAGGUAGAGUAUACUAAGGGGCGCGAGAUAACUCUCUCUAAGGAACUCGGCAAAAUGACUCCGUAACUUCGGGAGAAGGAGUGCCUUAUUUUUAAGGUUGCAAUAACAAGAUCCAAGCAACUGUUUACCAAAAACACAGGUCUCCGCGAAGUCGUAAGACGAUGUAUGGGGGCUGACGCCUGCCCAGUGCCAGAAGGUUAAAGAAGUUGGUUAGCAUUCGCGAAGCUGAUAACUGAAGCCCUGGUGAACGGCGGCCGUAACAAUAACGGUCCUAAGGUAGCGAAAUUCCUUGUCGGGUAAGUUCCGACCCGCACGAAAGGCGUAAUGAUUUGGAUACUGUCUCGGAGAGGGGCUCGGUGAAAUAGACUUGUCUGUGAAGAUGCGGACUACCUGCACCUGGACAGAAAGACCCUAUGAAGCUUUACUGUAACUUGAAAUUGAAAUUGGACUUUAUUUGCGCAGUAUAGGUGGGAGGCCUUGAGAAGAAUCUUGCGUGAUUCUUGGAGCCAUCAGUGAGAUACCACUCUUGUAAUGUUAGAUUUCUAACUUUGUAUCAUUCUCUGGUCAAAGAACAGUUUCAGGCGGGCAGUUUGACUGGGGCGGUCGCCUCCCAAACGGUAACGGAGGCGCACAAAGGUUUCCUCUGAACGGGUAGAAAUCGUAUCUAGAGUGUAAAGGCAUAAGGAAGCUUGACUGUGAGACCUACAAGUCGAGCAGGGACGAAAGUCGGUCUUAGUGAUCUGACGGUGCUGAGUGGAAAGGCCGUCACUCAACGGAUAAAAGUUACUCUAAGGAUAACAGGCUGAUCUCCCCCAAGAGUUCACAUCGACGGGGAGGUUUGGCACCUCGAUGUCGGCUCAUCGCAUCCUGGGGCGGUAGUACGUCCCAAGGGUUGGGCUGUUCGCCCAUGAAAGCGGUACGCGAGCUGGGUUCAGAACGUCGUGAGACAGUUCGGUCCAUAUCCGGUGUAGGCGUUAGAAUAUUGAGAGGAGCCUUCUCUAGUACGAGAGGACCGAGAAGGACAUACCUCUGGUGUACCAGUUAUCGUGCCAACGGUAAACGCUGGGUAGCUAUGUAUGGAGUGGAUAACCGCUGAAAGCAUCUAAGUGGGAAGCCCACCUCAAGAUAAGUAUUC
rnacentral:rRNA from 1 species